UCUCCGUUGGUGAACCAGCGGAGGGAUCAUUACUGAGUGUUUUUUCCAACCUCAUAACCCUAUGUGAACCUUUAUACCACGUUGCUUCGGCGGCGCGUUUCCCCCCCCGCGGGGGGCGUGCCCGCCGGCGAUAUCCAGUCUCUCAGUCAAGAACCGACGUUACUUCUGAGUGUUCUAAGCGAACUGUUAAAACUUUCAACAACGGAUCUCUUGGUUCCA
rnacentral:misc_RNA from 1 species